rnacentral:rRNA from 1 species
UACGUAGGGGGCAAGCGUUGUCCGGAUUUAUUGGGCGUAAAGAGCUCGUAGGCGGCUUGGUAAGUCGGAUGUGAAACCUCCAGGCUCAACCUGGAGACGCCAUCUGAUACUGCCGUGGCUUGAGUCCGGUAGAGGAGCAGGGAAUUCCUGGUGUAGCGGUGAAAUGCGCAGAUAUCAGGAGGAACACCAGCGGCGAAGGCGUUGCUCUGGGCCGGUACUGACGCUGAGGAGCGAAAGCGUGGGGAGCGAACAGG